GACGAACGCUGGCGGCGUGCUUAACACAUGCAAGUCGAACGGAAAGGCCCUGCUUGCAGGGUACUCGAGUGGCGAACGGGUGAGUAACACGUGGGUUAUCUGCCCUUCACUUCGGGAUAAGCCUGGGAAACUGGGUCUAAUACCGGAUAGGAGCCAUUUUUAGUGUGAUGGUUGGAAAGUUUUUUCGGUGUAGGAUGAGCUCGCGGCCUAUCAGCUUGUUGGUGGGGUAAUGGCCUACCAAGGCGGCGACGGGUAGCCGGCCUGAGAGGGUGGACAGCCACAUUGGGACUGAGAUACGGCCCAGACUCCUACGGGAGGCAGCAGUGGGGAAUAUUGCACAAUGGGCGCAAGCCUGAUGCAGCGACGCCGCGUGGGGGAUGACGGCCUUCGGGUUGUAAACUCCUUUCGCUAGGGACGAAGCUUUUUGUGACGGUACCUAGAUAAGAAGCACCGGCUAACUACGUG
rnacentral:rRNA from 1 species